rnacentral:rRNA from 1 species
CUACGGGCCGCUCCAGGCGCGAAACCUUUACAAUGCACGAAAGUGUGAUAAGGGAACCCCGAGUGCUUUGCUUUCGGGUAAAGCUUUUGUUAAGGGUAAAAAUCUUGGCGAAUAAACGGUGGGUAAGACUGGUGCCAGCCGCCGCGGUAACACCAGCGCCGUUAGUGGCAAUCAUGUUUAUUGGGUCUAAAGCGUUCGUAGCCGGUUUGGUCAGUUCUUUGUGAAAUUGUUAGGCUUAACCUAACAACGUGCAAGGAAUACUGCCAGACUAGGGACCGGGAGGAGGUAGGAGUACUCUUUGGGGAGCGGUAGAAUGUUGUAAUCCUUAGAGGACUACCUGUGGCGAAGGCGCCUAUCCAGAACGGGUCUGACGGUGAGGAACGAAGGCUAGGGGAGCAAAACGGAUUAGAUACCCCCGUAGUC